CUCUUGUCCAACUUUUCUCUGACUCCUCUCUCUAUUGUUCAUCAUCAUCUCUUUUUCUCUUUGCAGUACAAUGGCCUUUUCAUAGCCAUUGCAGCUGAUUCUUCAUUUCCCUUUUUGCUAACCUGCAUCAAAGGUCUGAUACCAUUUCACAUAGUAUUAGAGUAUUAAGAUUCAACAAUUGUUGAACCAAAUAACCCAACUAUGGAUGAUUCAUGAUGAGCGGAUAAUUUAUACGCUUUUUGGCACUGAUUUUAGGUAUUUUCUGGCUGGAAUUGAGAGACCUGAGCAAAACUCUGAUAAAAGGCUUACAAAGGACUGCUGAUGCUGUUGGAUUUUGACCUCCCUGCACUCGAAAUGAAUUUUCUGGAGCUACAAAACUCCAAAUGGCACGCUCUCAACGGCGUUGGAAAGUAGACAUCCAUAGUUUUUCAUCAAUAUAUAAUAGUUCAUACUUUAUUCAAGAUUAGACGACGCAAACUGGCGUUCAACGGCAGUUCCAUGCUGCAUUCUGGAGUCAAACGCCAGAAAUACGUCACAAACCAGAGUUAAACGCCAAAAACACGUUACAACUUGGCGUUUAACUCCAAAAGAAUCUUCUGCACGUGUAAAGCUCAAGCUCAGCCCAAGUACACACCAAGUGGGACCCGGAAGUAGAUUUCUGCAUCAAUUACCUAUUUUUGUAAACCCUAAUAGCUAGUCUAGUAUAAAUAGGACAUUUUACUAUUGUAUUAGACAUCUUGGUUUUCGUCUUUUAUCUAAAAUCCAUCUUUGGACGUUUGGUUCUUAGACUUCGGGGGUUGGCCAUUCGGCCAUGCCUGAACCUUGAUCACUUAUGUAUUUUCAACGGUGGAGUUUCUACACACCAUAGAUUAAGGGUGUGGAGCUCUGCUGUACCUCGAGUUUUAAUGCAAUUACUACUAUUUUCUAUUCAA